UAAUUGCAACAAGAGAAGGACCUCAACAUGUGAAAGAGAUGAGACAGAGACGGGAGCUAAACCAAUGUGUUUACUCAUCGGUACCUCUUCUUUUCUACAAGGCUGUCUAGUGUCUGGUGCUUGCUGAAGCCUAAUGGAGGACUGUUGUCUACUGCAACCUGUUGAAGCUCGACUAUUUGGGGGUUUUCCAUUUGUCAUGGACUCAUGUGAGAAGCA